CCCUUAGAUGUCCGGGGCUGCACGCGCGCUACACUGAAGGAAUCAGCGUGCUAAAACCAUUGUCGAAAGGCAUUGGUAAACCCAUUAAAAUCCUACGUGAUUGGGAUCGGGAAUUGCAAUUAUUUCCCUUGAACGAGGAAUUCCCAGUAAGUGUGGGUCAUAAGCUCGCGUUGAUUACGUCCCUGCCCUUUGUACACACCGCCCGUCGCUGCCCGGGACUGAGCCGUUUCGAGAAAAGCGGGGACUGCUGCUGUCGGGGCUUUCGGGCCUUGGCUUCGGUGGAAACCGCUUUAAUCGCAGUGGCUUGAACCGGGCAAAAGUUGUAACA
rnacentral:rRNA from 1 species